rnacentral:rRNA from 1 species
UUGGGAAUUUUGGGCAAUGGGCGAAAGCCUGACCCAGCAACGCCGCGUGAAGGAUGAAGUAUUUCGGUAUGUAAACUUCGAAAGAAUAGGAAGAAUAAAUGACGGUACUAUUUAUAAGGUCCGGCUAACUACGUGCCAGCAGCCGCGGUAAUACGUAGGGACCAAGCGUUGUUCGGAUUUACUGGGCGUAAAGGGCGCGUAGGCGGCAAUUCAAGUCAUCUGUGAAAUCUCCGGGCUUAACUCGGAACGGUCAGAUGAUACUGCUUUGCUAGAGUGCAGAAGGGGCAAUCGGAAUUCUUGGUGUAGCGGUGAAAUGCGUAGAUAUCAAGAGGAACACCUGAGGUGAAGACGGGUUGCUGGGCUGACACUGACGCUGAGGCGCGAAAGCCAGGGGAGCAAACGGGAUUAGAUACCCUAGUAGUCCCUGAGCGGGCUGGCAAGGCGCAU